GAUUAUACUGCGGCGGUGAUGUCGGGUGGUACUGUGGAGGAGCAGGCUCUUGCUGGGGUGGCUCGGGAUCCGCCCACUGUAGCGGUGGCUCAAACUGUGGUAGUGGGGGAGGGUCAGGUAAUUCCCUUCUCUCCUCUCAACCUUGUUGAGUAGCCAUGAUUCUUUCGAGCAUCUUAAAUAUUCUGUCAACAUCCUCCCGAAGCGAAUCAUCCUGGGCUGCUCGGUUUAGUGGGGGUCUCCCUCUCCUCAUCUCUCUGCACCUGCAUUUCACAAGAAAGGGUUGAGUAAU
rnacentral:lncRNA from 1 species